rnacentral:sRNA from 1 species
GCCGGGUAUGGUGGCAUACGCCUGUAAUCCCAGCAGCUCGGGAGGCUGAGACAGGAGGAUUGCAAGGUUAAAGCCAGCCUCAGCAAAAGCCAGCCACUAAGCAACUCAGUGAGACCCUGUCUCUA